GUUUCAGCGAUGGAGACGUUAGAGGCUCACUUAUCACUCUUAAAACGCAGGCCCACACCACCCCACCUUUCUGCAGCCAGCCAUCGGAGACAUCAGAAUUCCCUGUGGUUUUGCAAACAACAUUCUCAGCUGUUUUCAAGAGAUGAGUUAUUCUGUGGAGAAGAAAGUUUCAGUGUGGGUAAGAUUUGCGGUGAUGUAAACAGCAAAGCCGGUGGACGAGGUUACACAGCUGCACAGACUGUGUGUCUGAGAGUCCUCUAACCCGGUGCCCUGGGGCCCUAAGAGUUGCUGCAGUAGGCAGCCAGCUAUCACAGCUGUCUGUAAAAACCAAGGACACCACACGAGCUGAGUCCCUCAUGCUGCCUGCGGCUCACUGGGCUGGCAAGUCUGGUCCCAAAGGUCCACACUGUCCAGAGGCGCUCUGGAAAGUCUAGCUGACAGGGUGGAAAUGCAAGGACAUCAACACUGUCUGCGGCAGGCCACGCAGAGUUAAGAGAGAGAAGCGAGCGCAAAGAUAGGUUGGUCUCCUUUUUCCCCCCAGACGAGCUGUCCAACCUAUAGAAGUCUCAGGACCCUCUGAAGAUGUCCAGCAAGAGUACAAAGCCACGUCCAGCCCAGCCUGCGUCCCUGGGGCUGUCGCUGCUCUCUCACCUGUUACCCCUUGCUCCUGUGCUCCGGAGUGCGUUACCUCUCUGAAGCGUUAGCGGGUAAGUUCAUGUCUCAGGCUCUGUUUUUCAGCACUCAGAAUAAGAAAGUUGUACACUUUGUAUACAUUUAGCCCUCAAACAGAAAUAAUGAAAAUCUUCUGAAAAAUUACAUGAAAUUAUCUCAAACUGCUUAUCUGUUGAAUGGCAUAUUGAAUCUUACACUUCAGAGUUUCUGAAGUUAUUCUUAUAACAUGAGCAUUUUGAAAAGACAUAUGAAUCAUGGAAGCACUUUAUUAGUCUAUUGUUAUCCCUGAUGAGCCAAUAUUUACCAUAUAAUUAU
rnacentral:lncRNA from 1 species